CCCGCCUCCCCACCCCAGCCCACCGAACAGCACGUCCACGCAGGGCUCGGAGCCGUCGUGCCUCACGUCCACAAUCACCGAGCAGUUGAGAUUGGUGGAACGGACCUUCUCGCUGCUCACCGCCUGGAGGAAGGUCCUACGGGGCAGAAUUGAACCCGAACCUGCUUCACAGACCGGAGCCCGAGCCGAGCCAAGGACGCCGCCAUGGUGACCUCCGCACCGGAAGGCCUCGUGCGGGCGGAAGUGCCCGCUACGGCCGCUCUCCCCUCCCUGCCCCCGGCUUCUUCAGGGUGGGGGUCUCUGAUUCUCCAGUAGCCGAGCUAGCGUUCCGGGUGCUUGGGGCCCUGGGCUCCCCACUCCAAGAGGAGGAAGGCCAGCGGGGAGGUGGUUUCGAUACAGGGUAUGGAGGGCCCCAAAGUAAGCAGUCAGUAAAUACCUAUCAUUAAUAGUCCUCUUGUACCACGGCGAAAACAAUAAAUAAUGCAAAAGCCUUGCACUUGGCUACGAUAACUA